UCACCGGUGUUUUUAAACACCACCCGUGGAUGUAAGAAGGCGCUCG
rfam:Saprolegnia diclina VS20 unplaced genomic scaffold supercont1.6, whole genome shotgun sequence.